rnacentral:rRNA from 1 species
UACGUAGGGUGCAAGCGUUGUCCGGAUUUAUUGGGUUUAAAGGGUGCGUAGGCGGCUUUAUAAGUCCGUGGUGAAAGCCAACAGCUCAACUGUUGAACUGCCAUGGAUACUGUAAGGCUUGAGUACAGACGAGGUAGGCGGAAUGGAUGGUGUAGCGGUGAAAUGCAUAGAUACCAUCCAGAACACCGAUUGCGUAGGCAGCUUACUAGGCUGUAACUGACGCUGAGGCACGAAAGCGUGGGAGCGAACAGG